GUGAGGAAUUUUCCGCAAUGGGCGAAAGCCUGACGGAGCAAUGCCGCGUGAAGGAUGAAGGCCUAUGGGUUGUAAACUUCUUUUCUUAGAGAAGAAUAUUGACGGUAUCUGAGGAAUAAGCAUCGGCUAACUCUGUGCCAGCAGCCGCGGUAAGACAGAGGAUGCAAGCGUUAUCCGGAAUGAUUGGGCGUAAAGCGUCUGUAGGUGGCUUCAAACGUCUCGUGUAAAAGAUCAGGGCUUAACCCUGGGCCGGCAGGAGAAACUCUGAGGCUAGAGGUUGGUCGGGGCAGCGGGACUUCCCGGUGGCGCGGUUAAAUGCGUAGAGAUCGGGAGGAACACCAACGGCGAAAGCACUCUGCUGGGCCACAACUGACACUGAGAGACGAAAGCGAGGGGAGCAAAAGGGAUUAGAAACCCGGGUAGUCC
rnacentral:rRNA from 1 species